UUUAAAAAACCCAUUUUAUUUUAUAUAUAUUCAGCCUUUAAAUACAUACAUGUUUUGCGCAUGCACGCGUGAGUUUUAUGCGCGCAGGAGUGGCUGUGUGGUAAGUAACUUCAUAACCAACAGCAUGGUUCUGGGUUCAGUUCCACUGCGUGUCACCUUGGGAAAGUGUUUCUACUAUAGCCCCGAGCCGUCCAAACCCGCGUGAGUGGAUUUGAUAGACGGAAACUGAAAGAAGCCCGUCGUAUAUAUGAAUAUAUAUAUAUAUAUAUGUAUGUGUGUAUGUUUGUAUGUCUAUGUUUGUCCCCCCCCUCCCGCCAACAUCGCUUGACAGCCGAUGCUGGUAUGUUUAUGUCCCUGUAACUUACACACCUACGUGAAAUUUGCAGGACACAUAUUCACCCAUACGAAAACACGUGUCAGAAAUGAAGUAAAAGCCAAAAACGAAACUUUAAUUUAUUAUUUUACAAUUUUCGAACUAACACAGAGUGAACCAUCCAUAAGUUUAAAAACAACACAAAAAAAAAAAUGGGAGUGGCUGUGUGGUAAGUAGCUUGCUUAUCAACUACAUGGUUCUGGGUUCAGUCCCACUGCGCUGCACCUUGGGUAAGUGUCUUCUGCUAUAGCCCCGGGUCGACCAAAGCCUUGUGAGUGGAAAGGUAGACGGAAACUGAAAGAAGCCCGUCGUAUAUAUAUGUGCAUAUAUAUAUACAUAUUAUAUAUAUAUACAUACAUACAUACAUAUAUAUAUAUAUAUAUAUAUAUAUAUAUAUAUAUAUAUAUAUAUAUAUACAUAUAUAUAUACAUAGGAGUGGCUGUGUGGUAAGUAGCUUGCUUACCAACCACAUGGUUCCGGGUUCAGUCCCACUGCGUGGCACCUUGGGCAAGUAUCUUCUACUAUAGCCUCGGGCCGACCAAAGCCUUGUGAGUGGAUUUGAUAGACGGAAACGGAAUAAAGCCCGUCGUAUAUAUAUAUAUGUGUGUGUGUGUGUGUGUGUGUGUGUGUGUGUGUGUGUGUUUGUGUAUAUGUAUAUACAUCGAGGGAAGUUGUUGACAAACAACUGCAGUAAUUUUAUUCAGCUGAAUACACGUCAUUGAUUGGUUGAAAUUACCGAAAUACGAGAACUUUAGCAAGAAAUAACUUGCAAAAUACAGAAUUUUCUCAACAACGCCAAGAAUAAAAGAUGUUUUAUAUGACACAUUCUACAAGUAUACGAAGUUUGAAAGUCUUUAGUUAUAAAAAAUUGUUUUCUAAAUAUGGCGGUCAAAAGGUCAAGACCCAAUUUUGAUGUUGCCUCCGCUCUAAUAUUAUUAACUAACUACAUUUUUAGUGAAACAAAUAUAUAGCCGUGUAUAUUUUUGUCUUUUAUUAUCAGGACCCGGGACUGCCAUUGAACUCAACACGAUAUCAAUCAUGAAGAAGUUGAAACCACUGCCGAAAGAAAUUCUUUCAAUCAUCAUCGUUAAGUGUCCACCUACCAUACCAUCUAUGUGAUCACGUGUGCACGUGACUACACAUGCGCGUAAUAUUGUAUUUUUCUGGAUGCUGUAUAUAUAUAUAUAUAUAUAUAUAUAUAUAUAUAUAUAUUUAAAUGAAUGAAUGAAUUAUCCUUUGUUUACUGUUAACAUGGAAAAUUCAAUAAACAGCUACCAUGGUAUCAAAAUUCACGCAAGUAACACGGAUGAAGCGACCUAUUCAAAGGUAGAAACUCCGGGUUAAUGUGCAGUAAUUUGUGUAGUAUAAGUAAAUAAAUGGAGUUGAACGCAGAUGCUAUUCAAAUUCUUUUACUUUCGACAUGUGUUUCGAAGACAACAUUGGUUUUAUUCCAAAGGAAUAAACGGUGUAAAUGCAAUCUUCUCAUCAGGAAAGAAAGAGAGCCUAUCUCAACAACAAGACGUUAUAACAAUUACGAUGACUGCAUAAAUGAUAAACAGAACGUUAUUAAGUAUUUUUAAAAAAACGCUAGUAGAUUCGACGUCAAAGGCAGAUACUAGAAAGAGAAGGGUUAAAGAAAUAAUAAGUAGUGAACAAAUAAAGAGGGAUACGUUAGUUGAAAAAAUGUUCAAAGGCUUAGAAGUAGAUUUCUCUAUUGAAGUAAAGUGCAAGUUAAACUAACUGUUCAAACUAUAAAGACUGGUAAAAUCACUUAUAUGAGCUAACAUUUGUAAGAUCGCUUACAUUUGUAAGAUCGCUUACAUUUGUAAGAUCGCUUACAUUUGUAAGAUCGCUCUAUAAGUGUAUUAACACUCUAUAAGUGUAUUAACAAGGUAAUUUUUAGAGAAGAGAAUAUGGAAGAGUUUAGAGUUGCAAAUGUUACAAAAUCCCUUGCCCUUAUCGUAAGGAAAAGAUAUGGAUAGGAUGAACCAAUCUAACUUAAAAUCUUUAUUGUUGUCUUUAAGAUGCCAAACCAAUUUACUUAGCCCUGUGCUAUGACGUUUACUGCUAUCUCUAAAUGAUGAAUAAUGAUAGGAAAUUCUCUUAGAUAACUGGGAAGAGGAUGCUCCAAUGUAGAAGUAGACAUCGGUACCGCAAGAAAUUUUUCACUGGUAUAUAGAAUUCUUGAUCUUAGAAUUAUUAGACAUAAAUUUAAUUCUGUUGGGGUUGUCCUCAGAGACCAAAACCAUGUUUUAUUGCUAUUAUUAUUAUUAUUAUUAUUAUUAUUAUUAUUAUUAUUAUUAUUAUUAUUAUUAUUAUUAUUAUUAUGUGAGGGGCUGGAAUUAACAAAAUUAAUGUUGGAACUCCCAGAAAAUGAACUUUUAUUUAGCAGACUGGUAUUAUGAGAAGAUAUAAUUUGUGAAAGAUUCUUUGUGUUGGAGAAGGUAACCCUAACUAUAUGAGAGUUAAUAAUCGAAUAAUAUCUAGAAUUUUUUGGAAAGUUUUUACCAACCACUUCACGGAAUUGUAAAGGAAGAUUAGAUUUAAUUUGUUUUCCAAACGGAAUUACAAACCAGAUAGUUUUCCGAGUAACAUUCAAAUUGUAAGUGGUAUUAUCUUUAAAGGACGGUGAAAUAAAUCUAGAGUGAAAAAUGGGCUUAAAUAAUGCUUGCCUCCCUUACCCCGUAAAGGAAUAUUAUGUUUUGUGUUGUUUACAAUAUUAGAAUUAAAAUCACUCUUAUUAUUACAACUAGAUUUUAUGUCUUGAACAGUAGAUGAAGGACGAGAUUGAGCAGAAUCAAUGUAUGUAACUUUUUCUUUAUACCCAGCUUUAACCAAGGCAGAGUUAUAAAAUUCUGCCUUGUCGUUAAAAAUGUCAACAUUGGCGGAUAACUGAAAUGUUUUUAACUAAAUUCUUAGUAAUUGCCCUAGCGUGAUUACUGGAAGGACUAAUAUACUUGAGAUUCGUGGAAGGUUUGUGGUAUGGGAAGUACGAGUUAUUUUGUAAAUUAAGAGUAAUAUCUAAGAAGUUAGCUUUAGUUAACUCAUCGUCAAAAACGAUGUGAAAGCCCAUUCUACGAAAAAACCUAAUCUAUUCUUAACCUUCUGUAUUUUUUUAUUUGAAAUGUUUUGGGGGUAAAGCAGACAAUCAUCACGAUAUAGACCACCACGGCUGUUUGGGAACUGGUCGGUCAUUUCAUAAAGUAUAUAUAUUCCGACCAAAUCAGAAAUUUGAGCGGAAUCUGAACUUCCCAUUAGGACAUCGAACGCAUUGGGAGUAUCCUUCCGGAUCCACAACUUCUUAUCGAACUUAAUGAUUGAUUUCCUAGCAGCCAGUACCACAUUAAUUUCCUCUCUAGAGAGACCUGCUUUACUGUGUGCAUGGCAGAGUGCCUUAUUGAGUAUAAUAGGGUUGAUUGAUGAAUAGAAGCUAGAUAUAUCAAACUGAAUAAAUUUAGUGUUAACUUUAUUAGUAAUAGAAGUAAAGCAAUCUACAACUGGAAAAGAAUUCGACCAUAAGCUAAGUUUUAAUUUAUUGAUUAAUGUAGGGAUAUACUUAUCUAAGAUGUAUUUACUAAGAGUACCGAUGUCGGAGCUGGAAGGACAUAUAAGCCGUAAUGAUGGGUUAGUAUAAAAGUUCUGUUUGUGGUCUUUUAAAAUAAACCGAGGUUGCCUGGGAUUCAACAGUUCUGUCUUCAUCUGUAAUCCACACGAUUUCAUAAUUCCUUUAGCUUCUAGGUUAGCGUGCCUGAGAGUAUUCGUACCUGUGAUCUUGUAAUUUUAUGGAUCUCCUUUUCGAGCAGUUCCAAACAGUUCUCCUGAUGAGAAGAUUGCAUUUUACACCGUUUAUUCCUUUGGAAUAAAACCAAUGUUGUCUUCGAAACAUAUGUAUGCAUGUGUGUAUGUAUAUGUAUAUAAAUCAGAAAAAAACCCUCUAUUAUCAAUUCAACAAUGAAAUAAUAAAAUUAUACCAUAUAGAAAAAAAUUAAAUAUAAGAUAAAGACAUAUACCAAUGAUUAAGUAAUGUACAAAAUAAUAAAUAAAAAGUAUGUAAUUGAUAAAAUGACUACACGUGUUUC
rnacentral:lncRNA from 1 species